UCCGGCUCUACGCCGGCAGUCUCCUUAGAGUCCCCGGCAUUACCCGCUGGCAACUAAGGACGGGGGUUGCGCUCGUUGCGGGACUUAACCCAACACCUCACGGCACGAGCUGACGACAGCCAUGCAGCACCUGUCAGGGGCCCUUACGGACCUUGCAUCUCUGCAAGUUUUCCCCUGAUGUCAAGCCCAGGUAAGGUGGGGAUGACGUGUAGGAGCUCGAC
rnacentral:misc_RNA from 1 species